rnacentral:rRNA from 1 species
UACGACGGGGGCUAGCGUUACUCGGAUUGACUGGGCGUAAGGGGCGCGUAGGCGGUUUGUACAGUCAGACGUGAAAUUCCUGGGCUCAACCUGGGGGCUGCGUUUGAUACGUGCAGACUUGAGUUCGGAAGAGGGUCGUGGAAUUCCCAGUGUAGAGGUGAAAGGCGUAGAUAUUGGGAAGAACACCGGUGGCGAAGGCGGCGACCUGGUCCGAUACUGACGCUGAGGCGCGAAAGCGUGGGGAGCAAACAGG